CGAGGCAUCGAGCAUCAUUUUUAGAAUUGGCAUCAGCGCUUUUCAGUUCGUCUGCAGACAACUGUCAGUCAAAAUGAGCAAAAUGCACAAACCAGAAUGGCAGAAUUCGUUGUUGAAGCGUUUUAGGCGGUUAAUCGAUCGACUUGGUUAUGCCACAGCCCAUAGCACAUUUGAUUGGGCUGCUAAUUAACCAUACAUGUUUUGUACCAGUUUUGUUAUAGUGAGUGAGUGACUAUUGCCUAGUGAGGAUUUGGCAAAUAAAUGGGUUCGCGCCAAAUUUUCUGUUGUUUCCCAACCGUGGUAAUCAAGGGAUGGUCCCGUCUUCCUACACGUGGUUGAAAUAAAGCAAUUAAGUUGGGCUGCCAACUCAGCAUGGUGUCGUAUAACUUUCAGUCAGUGAAUUGUGUGAUUAUAGUGAGCAUUUGACAAAUAUGUCCCUUCACCCAAAGUUUUUCCUUAGUUUCUCGAUUGCCUAAAACCUGUGUUACACACUGGGGGCCCUUAUUCUUACACGAAUAAUUGCCCAUGAAAUAUCCAAUGAAGUACAUGACAUGGAGAAAAAAAACGGACCAACUUCGAUCGACCGGAUUGCAAAUUGAACAGCCUAGCCCGACGUCCCAAGAAAAACUCUUUGGCUUGCAUCUGCCCAUUCGUUGGCCUCCAUUCGUUAAGUGAGUUCUCUUUGCCAGUUUAAACGAACGAACUCACUAUUCAUGGCUCCGUUGGGAAGAAAUGGUGACACAUCCGGACACGGAGAUCACCAUCACUGAAAUCUGGACACAUCAGGCGGUUAGUAGACGCACAAGUGAAGUAAAUCCAUCGGUGUGUAGUUAUCCCAUUCGACCUACCAUAAACAUCCAGGGAAGUCCCAUCUCUAUGUGGAUUGCGUAAACGUAAUCCGGAAACUGAAGUUGUCGCAACCAAUCGUCACAGAGGAAUGAAGAUCGUUUUGGACUUUGGAAAAACUUGCACCAAAUAUCGUGCGUGUGUUCUGCUGCUUCAUCAGGUUAGAUUCAUGGUCAUGGACCUGGGUCUUCCAGUUUUCACAACAAGUUUCUGCAUUUUUUGUAUUAAUCACAACCUCAGCGAUGCAGUUUCCACUUCCACUUCCAAUUGAAAAGCAUGCAAUCAACUUCCAGCUGAAUCAUUACAGUAAUAGAAGAGCUUUGGGCAAACUCCUGAAAUUGCUUCUACGGUGCGGUACCUCCCCGCCCGUAAUAAUAGCAGUAACGAAUCAACUUCCUACACCAGACGGAUGCACCCCUGUGGCAGCAUCGAUUAUGGAGGAAAAUGCGGCAGAAUAUCAGCUGACGCCAUCAUUUUUACUUCGUUGCUGGUUGGAGUUUUUAGCUCGCCCGAUCCAAGCUACAAUAAACCUUUGUACGGUGCUCCGCCAAAAUACGAUCAAGCCGAGAUUCCGCACUGCGCCAAAAACACUACAAAGUCUUGGUGCCUGGAAGACUCGGAAUAUCCUCUUCAAGAGGUCAGAGAUGCUCUGGACCAGCACUACCAAAGCGUUUUGGCUUUCUACAAAGAUAAACUGGCCAACACAGACAAUUCCGUCGACGGAUUGGAUAAACUGAGUGACGAAAUUUACCUUUGUCCGAGCUCCACCGAGUACGUCCGUCCUCUACGGGCCAUUAACGUCGAAGGCAAGUGGCGGACCAUCGUCAAUGGAGUAGAGUCCUACGGCAUCAAAUACACCCAGACGGCUCGAGUUGAGGAAUGUGACGUGGUUGUUGGCACUGUCUGCCCACUGGUCCCGUCCUGCUACGAUUCCAAAUGCAUCCAGAAGAACAUUUUCCACCGCUUUUUGGUCUUCAAUCCCAGCGAUUACGCAUUUCCUUUCACCAUCGAAAAAUUCAAGUUGCCUGGCUCGUGCGGAUGUGCAGUUGGGGCUUUUAAACCUUGAAGAAACCCACCGGCGUUCGCGGAAAAAAUUCUUUCAAAUGGACCGAACAAAAAACUGAGAAGAUAAAAUUAGGUUUGCUGCUUAUUGGAUUGCAUCAGAUUACGCCUUUAGAUUAUAUAUGGAUACUGUACAUAAUUUUUGAAUAUUAGUCUUAAAAUAACUAAUUCUAUUAAAUAGUAAUUGAGCUUACAGUGGUGCGGGUAAAAGAUCAAUAAUUUGAUCAUGAAGCCUUUCUUUGACAUCCUGUUGAUUCAAUACAAAACAAAAGUAAUUAAUUUGACAAAACAAACGCAAAAUUAAAAAGAAUUUUAACUUUCAAUGUCUCUCCAGUAAAAUAGCAUAAGAAACUAAGUCCGCGAACUAAUUGUUUCCAAAUGUUUUUCUGAAAAUAUGGAAUCGUUCCUUUUUCUAGUGUCGAAAAAUAAACUAGUUCCCAAUGCGCAUCAAGCACAAACGAAAGGAAACAUAUGGUAGCUAAUGUGACACAAGUGUGCCAGCUUGAAAAUAUGGCUUAUUCAGAUGUUAUCCACAGGAUGUGUGUGUGGUGAAACAACGAAUUACACUACGUGUUCGCAUCAGUUACUAGUCAACUGCUGAAUUGAAUGAUAGGGGGCCAAAUCAAUAGUUCAACGAUGUCAAAUUAUUUCAACAAACGGCUAAUUUGUCUUGUUAUUUUAGUGUUUAGGACAAUCGUGCUCGUCACCUCCUCACCUGUCACGAACGAAGGAUAUGUUCAAAUGAAUCAGACAGGCCGUACUACAGGAGCCCUGGACUUUAUCGUUUACGUGUGUAGCAGCUUGAAUAACUGUGAACCGUUAGCUACUGGUUUGGUUGUCGAUAACAACUGGAGAGGUGUAUUUUACAAUCUCUGCUACGACCCAAAACGGUGCGACAAGGUUUUUACAGCCGCUGAGUAUGAUACCUUAUUCGGUGCGACUGUUUCAAGUUCACGCACUCAUCUGACGCUCAGGUACGUGACACCAGCUACAGGACCCAGGAUUUACUUGACCACUGGCCCGAAUUCUAACAAGUAUCAAAUGGUUUAUCUGCUGAACCGAGAGAUAAGCUUUGACGUCGACUUAUCUACCGUCGGAUGCGGAUUCGACGCAUCCUUUUUCUUUGUCGGAAUGGAAGAAGAUGGUGGGAUGGCCAGUCACGGUUACACAGGACCCAUUUACGGAACGGGCGGGUGCGACGCCCAGCUACCCGAGUCCAACAAACCAUCUUGCCACGAAUUAGACAUUAUUGAAGCCAACAGUUUAACUACAAUGAUGGUCACUCACACCUGCAAUGCCACCAACAACGGCUGCGAACCUUCCGGAUGUGCUUAUCUGCCGUACGCACUUGGAAAGAAAAAAUUCUACGGACGCGGGCCGUCUUAUUGCGUUGACACUACCAAACCUUUCACCAUCGUGACUCGUUUCGUCUCGGUCGACGGAACUGACACAGGGGACCUCAAAGAAAUCCAACGUUUCUACAAACAGAACGGCAGGACGAUACCGAAUCCAACAGUUGAGGGGAAUUUCAAUUCUAUAUCGGACGCUUACUGCAAAUACUACAAUCAGUGGAACAUGGGAGGAAUAUCGGCCAGUAUGAGCUACGGAUUAAAGAAAGGAAUGGUCCUCACAAUGGGAAUCGCUGGCUAUCCUGACAAACCCGACGUAUGGGGCUGGUUAGAUAAAGAACCCAACGGCCCUUGCCCAAUCUACAGCAACCCAAAUCCGAGUAUCACAUACGGAAAUAUUAAAUAUGGGUUUAUCGGAACAACUACCUAUUUAAAAGUAUGAGCAGUAGAAUUACAAGAGGAGCAAAGCGGUUUGGAAAAGUUUGAAAAAAAUGGGCCUUACAUUUGUCUCACACUCUCACACCGUAUGUUAACUAACGCAUACUGUUAAGUUAAAACGUAGCGACAUUUAAUUCACAUAUUCGGGAAUCGGGAAUAAAAAGA